AUGCAGCGCCGGAAACCCCACACCUAUAUAUACGCCACCCUCACGCUUGCCUUCUUCUUGCAACUCCUCACACCAUCUCCCUUUAUUCACUCCUCACCUCCGCACACACUCUGCUUCUCUCUGAGCUCCUCUACUCUGUUUCACUGCCCACUCGUCGUCUCCAGCGCGCGCAUAAAAAUGGAGGGGUGGACGCGCGGGAAAUGCAUCGGGAAGGGCGCGUUCGGCACCGUGCACUUGGCCGUCCACAGGGCCACCGGCCGCGCCUUCGCGGUCAAGUCGGUCCACGCCAAGGGCGCCGCGCCGGCUGCCGCGAUGGCGUGCCUGGAGACCGAGAUAAGGAUCUUGAGGCGGCUGUCCUCGCCGUACAUCGUGGCGUACCUCGGUGAUGACGCCACGGCUUCGACUAGGAACCUGCACAUGGAGCUCGUCUCGGGCGGGAGCGCGGCGGCGAGGGGCGCGGCCGGCCUUGGCGAGCGCGCGGCGCGGUGCGUCCUGCGGCGGGUCGCCGCCGCCCUGCACUACCUCCACGACGUCGCCGGGGUCGUGCACGGGGACGUGAAGGGGCGGAACGUGCUCGUCGGCGGCGACGGUGCCGAGUACGGCAGCUCCAAGCUCGCCGAUUUCGGCGCGGCGAGGCUUGUUUCAGAGCCGGCGCCGCGAGGGCCCCGUGGCACGCCGGCGUGGAUGGCGCCGGAGGUGGCCCGCGGCGGCGCGUCUACGCCGGCGUCCGACGUGUGGUCGCUCGGGUGCACGGCGGUGGAGCUGCUCACCGGGAAGCGGCCAUGGUCGGAGAUGGGCGGCGCCCUCGAGGUCGGCGAGCUGCUGCUCCACAUCGGUUACGGCGUGAAGCGACCGGAGCUCCCCGCGUGCCUCUCCGACUCCUGCAGCGACUUCCUCGACAAGUGCCUCCGCCGCGACGCUGGCGAGCGGUGGAGCUGCGAGCAGCUGCUGCGCCACCCGUUCCUCUCCGCGGACCCCCACGACGCCGGCGAGCCGUCGCCGUCCCCGUCCCCGCGAGCGGUUCUUGACUGGGCGGCGUCGGACUCGGACUCCGACGCGUCGUCCGACUGCCAUCCGGCGGCCGACAUCGAGGACGAGGUGAUCAUGGCGAGCGCCAAGGGGAGGAUUGCCGAAUUGGCAUCAGACAGGCCGCGCCCAGACUGGGUGCGCGAGCUGGAGGAAGGCCCCACCUGGGCGCCCGACACUUGGGCCCCACCGCCCAGUCUUGAGAUGUCAACCGAUGCAGUGCUACUGCCACUGGUACCAUCGCCAUCCGACGCUGCCACAGUCGCUGGCGCGGGAAAUGGCGGCGCCGGUGGGCCCGUCGUCAGCCGUGACGGGGUCCUCGUGACCGGCGGGAGCGACGGCGGCUCCUGCCGUGUCCGCGGCCGUUGCUGGUGCGAUGAUCGCCGUGGGUACCAUAAAUGUGGGUCUGGGUUUGAUCGGCCUCCUUGUUGGCCGCCGUUGGCCGUUGCGUCCGUGCUGGUGUCAUGUAUUCUAUCGCAUUUGAUUCAAUCAAUGAUUUUGUUUCAGCAAGCAGACGGUGAAUUGAUACUAUUUUUUGCUACAGUUUCUGGUUCUGUUUUUUUUUACAGCGCAGUUUCUGGUUCUUGUUUCUUUGGUGGUUUUGACUUUUGA
rnacentral:rRNA from 1 species